rnacentral:rRNA from 1 species
CGGUCUGCUUAACACAUGCAAGUCGAACGCAACCUUCGGGUUGAGUGGCGGACGGGUGAGUAACGCGUGAGAAUCUGCCUUGGGGUCGGGGACAACCACUGGAAACGGUGGCUAAUACCGGAUAAGCCUUUGGGUAAAAGAUUUAUUGCCCCAAGAGGAGCUCGCGUCUGAUUAGCUAGUUGGUGAGGUAAAAGCUCACCAAGGCAGCGAUCAGUAGCUGGUCUGAGAGGACGAUCAGCCACACUGGGACUGAGACACGGCCCAGACUCCUACGGGAGGCAGCAGUGGGGAAUUUUCCGCAAUGGGCGAAAGCCUGACGGAGCAAGACCGCGUGAGGGAGGAAGGCUCUUGGGUUGUAAACCUCUUUUCUCAGGGAAGAAGCUCUGACGGUACCUGAGGAAUCAGCCUCGGCUAACUCCGUGCCAGCAGCCGCGGUAAUACGGAGGAGGCAAGCGUUAUCCGGAAUUAUUGGGCGUAAAGCGUCCGCAGGUGGCGAUUCAAGUCUGCUGUCAAAGCACGGGGCUUAACUCCGUUAAGGCAGUGGAAACUGAAUAGCUAGAGUGCCGUAGGGGUAGAGGGAAUUCCCGGUGUAGCGGUGAAAUGCGUAGAGAUCGGGAAGAACAUCGGUGGCGAAAGCGCUCUACUGGACGGCAACUGACACUCAGGGACGAAAGCUAGGGGAGCGAAUGGGAUUAGAUACCCCAGUAGUCCUAGCUGUAAACGAUGGAUACUAGGUGUAGCUUGUAUCGACCCGAGCUGUGCCGAAGCUAACGCGUUAAGUAUCCCGCCUGGGGAGUACGCACGCA